rnacentral:lncRNA from 1 species
CCUCAGAUCACGCCACCUCAGGAAACAGCCGAAGAUAGACGAGAACCCAGCAUGUUAGUGGGUCAGAAAACUGUGAUGACGUAGACGCAAGCAUGCCACGUGAUUGAGAUGAUGAAGCACGCAGGCACGCCGUGUAGCUGAAAUGACAAAGCAUGCCUGCCCCCAAUGAUUCAUCUUAUUGCUUGUCAGCAUUGGAACAGCACCUCGCACAUAAGCCACACCACGUUUCAUAGUUAGUGCAUCUCUCAUCCUUUGCACCCAUGGAUAAGCCAGCCCGCUUCACUGACCGCUUCAGAGGCGUGAGGACGUCUGCAGCCUCUCAUCUUCCUUUAGUCCAGCUCUUCCCAACGUUGCUGA